GUUUAGGAGCACAAAGAACAGGUUUAGGAGCACAGGAGCAGUUUAGGAGCGGGUUUAGGAUCACAAAGAGCGGGUUUAGGAGCAGGUUCAGCCCGUACCUGAGAUAUCCACCACCUUGAUGGCCGAGGCGUGCGGGAACUUCUCCCGCAGCAGCUGCGCCAGGCGCGACUCCCCGUCCGUGCCCGAGGCCAGACCCCGCCAGCCGCGGCAGCGCAGCCAGAG